UACGUAGGGGGCAAGCGUUGCUCGGAUUGACUGGGCGUAAAGGGCGCGUAGGCGGUUCGUACAGUCAGACGUGAAAUUCCUGGGCUCAACCUGGGGGCUGCGUUUGAUACGUGCGGACUUGAGUGCGGAAGAGGGUCGUGGAAUUCCCAGUGUAGAGGUGAAAUUCGUAGAUAUUGGGAAGAACACCGGUGGCGAAGGCGGCGACCUGGUCCGAUACUGACGCUGAGGCGCGAAAGCGUGGGGAGCAAACAGG
rnacentral:rRNA from 1 species